GAGGAGGCCCAUCCACCACGCACCCACCCAGCGAGGGUCUGUAGGGGCCAGCUCAGCAUUGGUGACUGGAGGGAGAGAGGAGAGAGGAAGUAUGGGAUGGAGGUCAGGGCUAGGCUGGCAGAGGAGACGAGGAGACCCAUCCACCACGCACCCACCCAGCGAGGGUCUGUAGGAGCCAGCUCAGCGUUGGUGACUAGAGGGAGAGAGGAGAGAGGAAGUAUGGGAUGGAGGUCAGGGCUAGGCUGGCAGAGGAGACGAGGAGACCCAUCCACCACGCACCCACCCAGCGAGGGUCUGUAGGAGCCAGCUCAGCGUUGGUGACUAGAGGGAGAGAGGAGAGAGGAAGUAUGGGAUGGAGGUCAGGGCUAGGCUGGCAGAGGAGACGAGGAGGCCCAUCCACCACGCACCCACCCAGCGAGGGUCUGUAGGGGCCAGCUCAGCGUUGGUGACUAGAGGGAGAGAGGAGAGAGGAAGUAUGGGAUGGAGGUCAGGGCUAGGCUGGCAGAGGAGACGAGGAGACCCAUCCACCACGCACCCACCCAGCGAGGGUCUGUAGGGGCCAGCUCAGCGUUGGUGACUAGAGGGAGAGAGGAGAGAGGAAGUAUGGGAUGGAGGUCAGGGCUAGGCUGGCAGAGGAGACGAGGAGACCCAUCCACCACGCACCCACCCAGCGAGGGUCUGUAGGGGCCAGCUCAGCGUUGGUGACUAGAGGGAGAGAGGAGAGAGGAAGUAUGGGAUGGAGGUCAGGGCUAGGCUGGCAGAGGAGACGAGGAGGCCCAUCCACCACGCACCCA